AGAGUUUGAUCCUGGCUCAGGAUGAACGCUGGCGGCGUGCCUAAUACAUGCAAGUCGAACGGGUGUAGCAAUACAUUAGUGGCGAACGGGUGAGUAACACGUUGGUGACCUGCCCUAAAGAGGGGAAUACCAUUCCGAAAGGGAUGACAAAACCGCAUAAGCUGUGGAUAGUUAGAGAGUCCACAGUAAAAGAGCAAUCUACUUUAGGAGGGGCCUGCGGCCCAUCAGCUAGUUGGGGAGGUAAUGGCUCCCCAAGGCGAAGACGGGUAGGGGACCUGAGAGGGUGAUCCCCCACAAUGGAACUGAAACACGGUCCAUACACCUGCGGGUGGCAGCAGUAGGGAAUAUUGCUUAAUGGGCGAAAGCCUGAAGCAGCAACGCCGCGUGAACGAAGAAGGUCUUCGGGUCGUAAAGUUCUUUUAUAUGGGAUGAGGAAGGACAGUACCAUAUGAAUAAGUCUCGGCUAACUACGUGCCAGCAGCCGCGGUAAAACGUAGGAGACGAGCGUUAUCCGGAUUUACUGGGCGUAAAGCGCGUGUAGGAGGCGCUACAAGUUGGAUGUGAAAGCUCCCGGCUUAACUGGGAGAGGUCGUACAAAACUGUAGAGCUAGAGGAAGGCAGAGGUAGAUGGAACUCCGGGAGUAGUGGUGAAAUGCGUAGAUAUCCGGAAGAACAUCAGAGGCGAAAGCGAUCUACUGGGCCUUAACUGACACUGAGACGCGAAAGCCAGGGUAGCAAACGGGAUUAGAGACCCCGGUAGUCCUGGCCGUAAACGAUGUAGACUAGGCGUUUGUGGGGUAAAACUCAUGAGUGCCGGAGCUAACGCGAUAAGUCUACCGCCUGGGGAGUACGGUCGCAAGAUUAAAACUCAAAGGAAUUGACGGGGGCCCG
rnacentral:rRNA from 1 species